GAGGGCGUGGAGGAGAUGGACAGUUCGGCGCCGUCGUCGACGACGCGCAACUGGACCUCGCGUUCGAAGGCGCGGUGUCGCCC
rnacentral:tRNA from 1 species